CCGGUGUGUGUGUUUGUGUGUUUGUUGUGAAAUCGACAGCUGUGGAAGUUUUUUAUUACUAUUUUUUCCCCCCCAGAAAAAUAAUCACGUAAGUGUGCUGAUACGUGACCCCAAAUCUUACUUGUAUAAAUUCCAGAGCACGUGUUUGGGACGGGGAUGUUAAAAAAAAAUUCAAACACACACACGCACACACACACACUCACACACACACCGCCCAUCUGAGAGGGUGUGGCUCUUGCGUGCUGUUCAAAAGGAGGCGGAGUUCUUGAGAAUGCUGCCAGGCGAUUGGUGGACGGAGUCAGCUAUAUGGUGUGUACCUGAGACAGGAGUGAAGAUGGCGGGUCAGGUGAGGACGUGUGCGAAUUUAAAAAAUACAAAAAUAAAUAAAUAAGGAGGAAACAUGCAGACCUUCAGAGUUUCACCGCAAACGCCCUUCGAGUGGAAGGACGUCUCCCAGACGCGCCGUGCGUCCACUCAUCCAUGCUUCCUAUCCUUCAUUCCACCGGAGUCUGUGUGUCUGAGCAAUCAGAUUUCAGUGGUGUGAAGAAUACGAGACAUGGGCCUGCCCUCCUCCUCCUCCUCCUCCUCCUCUUCCUCUUCCUCAUCAUCAUCAUCAUCAUCAUCACCACCACCACUCACAUGUUUAAUUAAAACUUGUUAAAAAUGUAAAUGUGCUUCAUUGAUUACACUCAUUUUGUAAUAUAGUCAUUUAAUUAGUUCAUUUUAGCUGAUUAAAGAGUAAAUGAGUAAAUUUUUGAGUAAAGCUUUAGUGAACCUUUAACAGGGGGGCGUGUCUACGCAGGACAAAAAAAUAAAGAUGAAAAAUAAGACACUGUCAGUUUCGAUCUGUGAUCCGAGAGAGGAAACACUCUCCGAGAAGUGUGCACUAAUCAGGGCCUGUCACUAAUUUCACCGUUCAUUAAUUACACUCAAACCACAUUAUUAUUAUUAUUAUUAUUAUUAUUAUUAUUAUUAUUAUUAUUAUGUCUACUACAUCUAUUUAUGUAGCACUUUUUUAAACAAUUAUCUAUGAAUUAACUAUACUUGUGUGUAUAUAUA
ensembl:lncRNA